rnacentral:lncRNA from 1 species
CAAAAUUGUAACACCUUGAGUGUGAGUUAUCUUUUAAAAUUUCGUUUCAAGUAGAAACUUGAUUCUGAAAAGAGUUUGGAUAGAGGUGAAAACAGAGACUCUAGAUACUGUGAGAUAGCGUCUGUGGAAACACGGCUAGUUCUCUAGAGUGAGAAAUGCAACCUUAAUUGAAAAGCUUUUUGCGGAAGCAGUUGUGGACCCAAAUGAUUUCAGAAACAUUUUAAAUCUUUACUUGAUUCAGAAGAUUGAUAAAGUACAUGCAAAGCAUCUAUAAGAGCAUACUGGAGGGAAAGCCUGUUUAUUUCCACUUGAUUACUGUAAG